UUUGGCGGGGUAACGGCCCACCAAGACCGCGAUGUCUAGGGGAACUGAGAGGUUGGUCCCCCACACUGGAACUGAGACACGGUCCAGACUCCUACGGGAGGCAGCAGUGAGGAAUAUUGGACAAUGGCCGGAAGGCUGAACCAGCCAUGCCGCGUGAAGGAUAAGGUCCUAUGGAUUGUAAACUUCUUUUGAGAGGGAGCAAUAAGGUGUACGCGUACACCGAUGAGAGUACCUUUCGAAUAAGCAUCGGCUAACUCCGUGCCAGCAGCCGCGGUAAUACGGAGGAUGCGAGCGUUAUCCGGAUUUAUUGGGUUUAAAGGGUGCGUAGGCGGUUUAUCAAGUCAGCGGUGAAACGCAAGGGCUUAACCCUUGACCUGCCGUUGAAACUGGUGGACUGGAAUGCGGAUGCUGUGGGAGGAAUGUGUGGUGUAGCGGUGAAAUGCAUAGAUAUCACACAGAACACCGAUUGCGAAGGCAUCUCACAAAUCCGUGAUUGACGCUGAGGCACGAAAGUGUGGGGAUCAAACAGGAUUAGAUACCCUGGUAGUCCACACUGUAAACGAUGAUGACUCGCUGUCGGCGAUAUACAGUCGGUGGCCAAGCGAAAGCGAUAAGUCAUCCACCUGGGGAGUACGACCGCAAGGUUGAAACUCAAAGGAAUUGACGGGGGCCCGCACAAGCGGAGGAACAUGUGGUUUAAUUCGAUGAUACGCGAGGAACCUUACCCGGGCUCGAACGGUACAGGAAGGAUCAAGAGAUUGAGACGCCCUUCGGGGCCUGUAUCGAGGUGCUGCAUGGUUGUCGUCAGCUCGUGCCGUGAGGUGUCGGCUUAAGUGCCAUAACGAGCGCAACCCUUGCCGUCAGUUACCAGCACGUAGAGGUGGGGACUCUGGCGGGACUGCCACCGUAAGGUGAGAGGAGGGGGGGGAUGACGUCAAAUCAGCACGGCCCUUACGUCCGGGGCGACACACGUGUUACAAUGGUGGGUACAGAGGGCGGCUACCUGGCGACAGGAUGCAAAUCUCGAAAACCCAUCUCAGUUCGGAUCGGAGUCUGCAACUCGACUCCGUGAAGUUGGAUUCGCUAGUAAUCGCGCAUCAGCCAUGGCGCGGUGAAUACGUUCCCGGGCCUUGUACACACCGCCCGUCAAGCCAUGAAAGCCGGGGGUGCUUGAAGUCCGUGACCGAGAGGAGCGGCCUAGGG
rnacentral:rRNA from 1 species